UGAAUGACAGUAGUGGAAUAAAGGAAGCGAAACCCACUCUGUGGCUCAACAGUGUUCUUACAAGGGAACAAGACGUUUCAAGUGGCUGCGGAGACGAGAGCAAGGAAGAGAGCAUGGCAGCAAAGAUUCCAAUCACAGGUUUGAAUAUUGGCAGCGGUACAUUCAGGACAAAGACAACUAACAAAAUCGCUUCGGAAGCUAGUUUUUCAUCUAGUGAAGGAAGUCGUUUGUCAAGCCAAAAGAAUGCAAUGGUGUCAAGAUU